GUCUUUUGCAGUAGACAACCUAUGAACUUUCUUCAGAAAAUUCACAGGCUUCUUGAGUGAAGAAAGAGUCUCUGCGCUGAGGUGAAUUGACUGUUUUUAUUAAUGGUAUCUUCAAAAAGGGAGAAGAGUUAAAACCAUACCACACUGCCAAUCUGUAAAGGUGGAUGGUACUGUGCCAUGAAAAAGCUGCAGAAAAUGCAAACAUUUUCCAGCCUGGGAACAAUGUGACCGCAGCAGUGUUGGCUCAGCUUCACUGAGCUCUUGACCUCUCCUGGGGACCAGAAGCUGAACUUGCUGCAGUGGGAAGGGAGCAGAGACUCCCGCAGGUGC